CGGGGUGCAGCAGGCGCGAAAACUUUACAAUGCUGGAAACAGCGAUAAGGGGACCUCGAGUGCCAGGUUACAAAUCUGGCUGUCGUGAUGCCUAAAAAGCAUUGCAUAGCAAGGGCCGGGCAAGACCGGUGCCAGCCGCCGCGGUAACACCGGCGGCUCGAGUGGUAACCGUUAUUAUUGGGUCUAAAGGGUCUGUAGCCGGCCGGAUAAGUCUCUUGGGAAAUCCAGCAGCUCAACUGUUGGGCUUUCAGGAGAUACUGUCUGGCUCGAGGCCGGGAGAGGUGAGAGGUACUUCAGGGGUAGGGAUGAAAUCUUGUAAUCCUUGAAGGACCACCAGUGGCGAAGGCGUCUCACCAGAACGGACCUGACGGCAAGGGACGAAAGCUAGGGGCACGAACCGGAUUAGAUACCCGGGUAGUCCUAGCCGUAAACGAUACUCGCUAGGUGUCGGCCACGGUGCGACCGUUGUCGGUGCCGUAGGGAAGCCGUGAAGCGAGCCACCUGGGAAGUACGGCCGCAAGGCUGAAACUUAAAGGAAUUGGCGGGGGAGCAC
rnacentral:rRNA from 1 species